rnacentral:rRNA from 1 species
CCAAACUCCUACGGGAGGCAGCAGUAGGGAAUCUUCCACAAUGGGCGAAAGCCUGAUGGAGCAACGCCGCGUGGGUGAAGAAGGUCUUCGGAUCGUAAAACCCUGUUGUUAGAGAAGAAAGUGCGUGAGAGUAACUGUUCACGUUUCGACGGUAUCUAACCAGAAAGCCACGGCUAACUACGUGCCAGCAGCCGCGGUAAUACGUAGGUGGCAAGCGUUAUCCGGAUUUAUUGGGCGUAAAGGGAACGCAGGCGGUCUUUUAAGUCUGAUGUGAAAGCCUUCGGCUUAACCGGAGUAGUGCAUUGGAAACUGGGAGACUUGAGUGCAGAAGAGGAGAGUGGAACUCCAUGUGUAGCGGUGAAAUGCGUAGAUAUAUGGAAGAACACCAGUGGCGAAAGCGGCUCUCUGGUCUGUAACUGACGCUGAGGUUCGAAAGCGUGGGUAGCAAACAGGAUUAGAUACCCUGGUAGUCCACGCCGUAAACGAUGAAUGCUAAGUGUUGGAGGGUUUCCGCCCUUCAGUGCU